rnacentral:ncRNA from 1 species
UAGCUGGUUAAAGUCCAGCCGUGGGAAUUCGACAGUUCACCCACGUAGCAAGAGGAAGGUGUUAAGGGUAACCUGAAGCGCUGUGUUUCCUGACAAAGGCUCAGAAAGUGAGUCGAGCAAAUCUGCGGGUUGCAACGAAA